UUGAAGGCAAACCAUGAACAAAUAAAUCACUCAGCCAACUUCAGCAUGAAAUGACAUUUGGAGGAAAAUGCUAUUCUAGGUUAAAAUUAAUCAGUAAUUCAAGAGAGUUGUCUCUCUCAAAUGUUGUUACUUACCAACUAUAAAUAUAUAUUACUGAGCAAAACAUUGCAA